CCUGAGGGUCUCAGCAGCUCCUCCUGCAUGAGAGGUGGAAGUACCACCAAAAUCCUGCUGGAAACCCUGUUACUGGCAGCCCAUAAGACGGUGGAGCAGGGCAUUGCAGCAUCUCCAAGAUGCCUUCUGGAAAUCCUGCGGACAUUUGAGCGGGCUCAUAAGGUGACCUACAGUCAAAGCUCCAAGAUCACCCUGAUGAAGCAAGUCAGCACCAGGUACCCAGAGGUGCAGUGGGAGGGGGCGCCCAAGGGCAGAGGAGACUGAGAAGUUUAACAUUGGCGGGAACAAUGGGUCUCUGCACUGGCUUCUCUGUUGACCCCUGUGUUCUUCUGUAUGCAUCUCUGGCUUCUUUUUCAUGGUGACCUCUUAUGUCCUGACCUCUGACUGGUCCUCAGCCUGGAGAAGAGAGGCCGAGAGCACUUGGUUAGCUGGCAGAACCUGAGCCUCAUUGCCAUCAUGGAUGGGGUGGAGUGCAUCCAUACCUUUGGUGCUGGUGGGACCCCAGUCCACACAUUUUUCCUCACCCCACCUGACCCAGCCAACUAGUCUACUAUCCAAACCCUGCCAACUAUUGGAGAGACCUAAAUGUCGGUUCUGCCCUACUGAAUAGGCAUUUCAGUCACAUGCUUCUUCCUUUGGGUCCCAACUCCGUCCUCCAUCCAGCUAUGGUGUCUCACAUGGGUUACCCCUCACCUCACAUCCACUUUCUGUUUCCCUCCCAGCCCCACUGGCAGCCUCCAAAGCCUGGAACUUUCCUUUCCUACAAGGCCCAUCAUUCUCUUUCCCUGUCUUUAAACUUCCCAGAUUUCCGAGACAUCUGUGGCUUUCUCAUUGGGGAUCACAGUGACAUGUUUAACCAGAAGGAUGAGCUCACCAAUCAGGGUCCACAGUUCACCUUCUCCCAGGAAAACUUCCUGACUUCCAUCCUGCCCUCCCUCAUGGAAACUGACACUGUUAUCUUCAUUUUCACCCUGGAUGAUAACCUUGUGGAAGUGCAGACACUGGUGGAGCAGGUGAAAGAGAAGGCCAGCAAUAUCCAGGCCCUGGCGCACAGCACUGUGGGGCAGUCCCUGCCGGUGAGGGUCCAGCCUUGAAAGGGGCCUGGGUGGCAGUCACAGGCUGGCCUGCCUGCACAUGUCGCUCUGGGUCCUGUUUCUCUUCGGGCCCCUCUGAAGAAGCUCUUUCCCUCCAUCAUCACUGCUUUUCUUCGAGUACGAAGGGAACUUCGUCCAGGUAUGGAGGGUGAGAGAGUAAUAUUUGCAGUGAGGGGCUAAGAGUGGGGGAGACCUCAGAAAUUAGAAAACCCAAUGCUGGAGGGGAGAAAGCUUGAAGGUUUGUCUGCCCCCCACCAAGCCAGUAGAUUCUUGAGUUAGCGAGU
rnacentral:lncRNA from 1 species